rnacentral:rRNA from 1 species
UACGUAGGGUGCGAGCGUUAGUCGGAAUUACUGGCGUAAAGCGUGCGCAGGCGGUUAUGUAAGACAGUUGUGAAAUCCCCGGGCUCGAACCUGGGAAUUGCAUCUGUGACUGCAUAGCUAGAGUACGGUAGAGGGGGAUGGAAUUCCGCGUGUAGCAGUGAAAUGCGUAGAUAUGCGGAGGAACACCGAUGGCGAAGGCAAUCCCCUGGACCUGUACUGACGCUCAUGCACGAAAGCGUGGGGAGCAAACAGG